GAUCCUGGCUCAGGACGAACGCUGGCGGCGCGCCUAACACAUGCAAGUCGAACGGAGCUGAGAGGAGCUUGCUUUUCUUAGCUUAGUGGCGAACGGGUGAGUAACGCGUGAGUAACCUGUCCUGGAGUGGGGGACAACAGUUGGAAACGACUGCUAAUACUGUAUAAGCCCACGGAUCCGCAUGGAUCUGCGGGAAAAGGAUUUAUUCGCUUCAGGAUGGACUCGCGUCCAAUUAGCUAGUUGG
rnacentral:rRNA from 1 species